rnacentral:rRNA from 1 species
UGGGGAAUUUUCCGCAAUGGGCGAAAGCCUGACGGAGCAAGACCGCGUGAGGGAGGAAGGCUCUUGGGUUGUAAACCUCUUUUCUCNNNGAAGAAGCUCUGACGGUACCUGAGGAAUCAGCCUCGGCUAACUCCGUGCCAGCAGCCGCGGUAAUACGGAGGAGGCAAGCGUUAUCCGGAAUUAUUGGGCGUAAAGCGUCCGCAGGUGGCGAUUCAAGUCUGCUGUCAAAGCACGGGGCUUAACUCCGUAAAGGCAGUGGAAACUGAAUAGCUAGAGUGCCGUAGGGGUAGAGGGAAUUCCCGGUGUAGCGGUGAAAUGCGUAGAGAUCGGGAAGAACAUCGGUGGCGAAAGCGCUCUACUGGACGGCAACUGACACUCAGGGACGAAAGCUAGGGGAGCGAAUGGGAUUAGAUACCCCAGUAGUCCUAGCUGUAAACGAUGGAUACUAGGUGUAGCUUGUAUCGACCCGAGCUGUGCCGAAGCUAACGCGUUAAGUAUCCCGCCUGGGGAGUACGCACGC